rnacentral:rRNA from 1 species
AGCGAACGCUGGCGGCAGGCUUAACACAUGCAAGUCGAGCGGGCCCUUCGGGGUCAGCGGCAGACGGGUGAGUAACACGUGGGAACGUACCCUUUGGUUCGGAAUAACGCUGGGAAACUAGCGCUAAUACCGGAUACGCCCUUUUGGGGAAAGGCUUGCUGCCGAAGGAUCGGCCCGCGUCUGAUUAGCUAGUUGGUGGGGUAAUGGCCUACCAAGGCGACGAUCAGUAGCUGGUCUGAGAGGAUGAUCAGCCACACUGGGACUGAGACACGGCCCAGACUCCUACGGGAGGCAGCAGUGGGGAAUAUUGGACAAUGGGCGCAAGCCUGAUCCAGCCAUGCCGCGUGAGUGAUGAAGGCCUUAGAGUUGUAAAGCUCUUUUGUCCGGGACGAUAAUGACGGUACCGGAAGAAUAAGCCCCGGCUAACUUCGUG